rnacentral:rRNA from 1 species
GAUGAACGCUGGCGGCGUGCCUAAUACAUGCAAGUCGAGCGAAUGGAUUAAGAGCUUGCUCUUAUGAAGUUAGCGGCGGACGGGUGAGUAACACGUGGGUAACCUGCCCAUAAGACUGGGAUAACUCCGGGAAACCGGGGCUAAUACCGGAUAACAUUUUGAACCGCAUGGUUCGAAAUUGAAAGGCGGCUUCGGAUGUCACUUAUGGCUGGACACGCGUCGCAUUAGCUCGUUGGUGAGGUAACGGCUCACCAAGGCAACGAUGCGUAGCCGACCUGAGAGGGUGAUCGGCCACACUGGGACUGAGACACGGCCCAGACUCCUACGGGAGGCAGCAGUAGGGAAUCUUCCGCAAUGGACGAAAGUCUGACGGAGCAACGCCGCGUGAGUGAUGAAGGCUUUCGGGUCGUAAAACUCUGUUGUUAGGGAAGAACAAGUGCUAGUUGAAUAAGCUGGCACCUUGACGGUACCUAACCAGAAAGCCACGGCUAACUACGUGCCAGCAGCCGCCGUAA